UACUAAGCCAUGCGAGUCAUUGUAGCAAUACAAGGCAGACGGCUCAGUAACGCGUAGUCAACCUAACCUAUGGACGGGAAUAAUCUCGGGAAACUGAGAAUAAUGCCCGAUAGAACACUAUAUCUGGAAUGGUUUGUGUUCCAAAUGAUUUAUCGCCAUAGGAUGGGACUGCGGCCUAUCAGUUUGUUGGUGAGGUAAUGGCCCACCAAGACUAUUACAGGUACGGGCUCUGAGAGGAGUAGCCCGGAGAUGGGUACUGAGACACGGACCCAGGCCCUAUGGGGCGCAGCAGGCGAGAAAACUUCACACUGUGCGAAAGCGCGAUGAGGGAAUCCCAAGUGCUUGCUCGUAAGAGUAAGCUGUUUCUUUGUUUAAAACGCAGAGAGAGUAAGGGCUGGGUAAGACGGGUGCCAGCCGCCGCGGUAAUACCUGCAGCUCAAGUGGUGACCGCUAUUAUUGGGCCUAAAACGUCCGUAGCCGGUUUGGUAAAUGCCUGGGUAAAUCGUGUAGCUUAACUAUACGAAUUCUGGGUAGACUGCCAAACUUGAGACCGGGAGAGGCUAGAGGUACUCUUGGGGUAGAGGUGAAAUUCUGUAAUCCUAGGGGGACCACCAGUGGCGAAGGCGUCUAGCUAGAACGGGUCUGACGGUGAGGGACGAAGCCCUGGGGCACAAACCGGAUUAGAUACCCCGGUAGUCCAAGGUGUAAACGCUGCUUGCUUGAUGUUAGUUGGGCUCUGAGCCCAACUAGUGUCGGA
rnacentral:rRNA from 1 species